rnacentral:rRNA from 1 species
UUUAUCGGAGAGUUUGAUCCUGGCUCAGGACGAACGCUGGCGGCGUGCCUAAUACAUGCAAGUCGAGCGGACAGAUGGGAGCUUGCUCCCUGAUGUUAGCGGCGGACGGGUGAGUAACACGUGGGUAACCUGCCUGUAAGACUGGGAUAACUCCGGGAAACCGGGGCUAAUACCGGAUGGUUGUCUGGACCGCAUGGUUCAGACAUAAAAGGUGGCUUCGGCUACCACUUACAGAUGGACCCGCGGCGCAUUAGCUAGUUGGUGAGGUAACGGCUCACCAAGGCGACGAUGCGUAGCCGACCUGAGAGGGUGAUCGGCCACACUGGGACUGAGACACGGCCCAGACUCCUACGGGAGGCAGCAGUAGGGAAUCUUCCGCAAUGGACGAAAGUCUGACGGAGCAACGCCGCGUGAGUGAUGAAGGUUUUCGGAUCGUAAAGCUCUGUUGUUAGGGAAGAACAAGUGCCGUUCAAAUAGGGCGGCACCUUGACGGUACCUAACCAGAAAGCCACGGCUAACUACGUGCCAGCAGCCGCGGUAAUACGUAGGUGGCAAGCGUUGUCCGGAAUUAUUGGGCGUAAAGGGCUCGCAGGCGGUUUCUUAAGUCUGAUGUGAAAGCCCCCGGCUCAACCGGGGAGGGUCAUUGGAAACUGGGGAACUUGAGUGCAGAAGAGGAGAGUGGAAUUCCACGUGUAGCGGUGAAAUGCGUAGAGAUGUGGAGGAACACCAGUGGCGAAGGCGACUCUCUGGUCUGUAACUGACGCUGAGGAGCGAAAGCGUGGGGAGCGAACAGGAUUAGAUACCCUGGUAGUCCACGCCGUAAACGAUGAGUGCUAAGUGUUAGGGGGUUUCCGCCCCUUAGUGCUGCAGCUAACGCAUUAAGCACUCCGCCUGGGGAGUACGGUCGCAAGACUGAAACUCAAAGGAAUUGACGGGGGCCCGCACAAGCGGUGGAGCAUGUGGUUUAAUUCGAAGCAACGCGAAGAACCUUACCAGGUCUUGACAUCCUCUGACAAUCCUAGAGAUAGGACGUCCCCUUCGGGGGCAGAGUGACAGGUGGUGCAUGGUUGUCGUCAGCUCGUGUCGUGAGAUGUUGGGUUAAGUCCCGCAACGAGCGCAACCCUUGAUCUUAGUUGCCAGCAUUCAGUUGGGCACUCUAAGGUGACUGCCGGUGACAAACCGGAGGAAGGUGGGGAUGACGUCAAAUCAUCAUGCCCCUUAUGACCUGGGCUACACACGUGCUACAAUGGACAGAACAAAGGGCAGCGAAACCGCGAGGUUAAGCCAAUCCCACAAAUCUGUUCUCAGUUCGGAUCGCAGUCUGCAACUCGACUGCGUGAAGCUGGAA